CAUCUCUCUCCACGGUAUCAUAGGUAAUGUAAUCCAGUAUUUAGAGGUCAGUUAUGCACAUUACAGUUGUUUAUUGCAUAAAAAGUUAUCGAAAAAUGAAGUUAAGGGCAAAGUAUAAAUCACGUCUAAAAAUAGACUGAAUCCCGACGUUGAAAUGAAGUAUAAACUUAGACUAGACGUCUAAUAUACGUCUUUUGCUCAGUGGGAUGACAAAGCAUGUGGACAUUUGUGUGACACGCCACUUACCCUAUAAUAAUAAUCGCCACCACUCGCUGCUCAAACGGUGUGAGGGUCUCCUCCCCCGGACCCCCACCUGUCUGGCCAGUACUCCUCCGGAG
rnacentral:lncRNA from 1 species